GACGAACGCUGGCGGCGUGCCUAAUACAUGCAAGUAGAACGCUGAAGAGAGGAGCUUACUCUUCUUGGAUGAGUUGCGAACGGGUGAGUAACGCGUAGGUAACCUGCCUUGUAGCGGGGGAUAACUAUUGGAAACGAUAGCUAAUACCGCAUAACAAUGGAUGACACAUGUCAUUUAUUUGAAAGGGGCAAUGCCCCACUUACAGAAGGAACCUGCGUUGUAUUAGCUAGUAGGUGAGGUAAUGGCUCACCUAGGCGACGAUACAUAGCCGACCUGAGAGGGUGAUCGGCCACACUGGGACUGAGACACGGCCCAGACUCCUACGGGAGGCAGCAGUAGGGAAUCUUCGGCAAUGGGGGCAACCCUGACCGAGCAACGCCGCGUGAGUGAAGAAGGUUUUCGGAUCGUAAAGCUCUGUUGUAAGUCAAGAACGGGUGUGAGAGUGGAAAGUUCACACUGUGACGGUAGCUUACCAGAAAGGGACGGCUAACUACGUG
rnacentral:rRNA from 1 species